UACUAACCACGUGACGGUAAAGAGCCGUUCGGUUUAGCACUAUUUUAGAAAUUUAAAAUUAUUUCCAGUUAGAAAACUAUUCGCUGGACUAGCCACCAUCGUAAACCUAACUGGUUGCCGGCGAACGGCGUAAAACACCGGGCAUCUUCUUCUUCAUCGUAUUCUCCCUUCAUCUUUUGAGGUAAGCUUGUGAUUAUGAGUUUCUUCUCUUACUUAGCUUGUAAUUAUAGAUUUUGAUUUUUUUUUAAAUUCGUAUUGUAGCCAUUAUUGUCAAUUUUUGUCCCGCCAGCAAUAUUUUUUUAUUCCUACAAGUUGAAGCCCCUGUGUUCUUGUUCCAUUGGUGAGUUUGCUCACUCAAAUUAAUUUUGUUCUGCGAAAUUUACAAAGUUCAAAUGGAUUCAUUUGAAUUACUAUUGAAUUUAGCUUUAAUUCCAACAUCCAUUCUAAUGUUUUGCUAUU
rnacentral:lncRNA from 1 species